AGCGAGGAACCGUGUCGGAGUUGCGCCUUGCACUGUCCCGCCGACGAGCACGAAUGCAUCAAACAACCAAGUGAAUCUGUGCACGGAAUACAUGUCAAACAAUAUAAACAAUCAGAUAUGCUAUCACAACAGGUGAAUAAACAUCUAGUAUAACAGAACAUCUACCACUGGAAUUGUAGAGUAUUUAGAUGACUGCUAAUAAUAACUGCAUGAGCUGCUUCUGUUGACAAGAACCUGAAAGCACAUGAGGUACAUGAACCUUACAUGUAUGCACACAAUACGAGCAUGCAACAACUUUUCAGGAUAAAGGGUGAAAACAGAUGUGCAUCAGUUUUUUUUAGAAAAGGAGGAUGACCCCCGGCCUCUGCAUCUGGGAGAUGCAUACGGCCACUUUAUUUUGAGCUAGUACAUACUAUAGAAUGAAUAUUGCAUAAAGAAUUGCUAGAACAGUUGAACAAUCCAACCAAAUUAAUACCAUACUACAAUAUUUGAUAAAAACUAAUGAACAUGUAAAUGCAAGACAGUUAGAUGGGCAUUACAGCUCUCAUCAUUGUUACAAGAGCAUGCAGAAUGGUUUAAAUAACUGCAAGUUUAUAUCUACGGCGCAGGAUCAAUGCUUUUAGCACAGAGAAUAAUUACAUCUGACAUAGAAUGUGCACUUAGUGGGCCGGUAGGUGACAUGAUCGCGCUGCAGGAGAGUACAAUGUAAUUUUACCUUCACUGCCGGUGACACAUCGGAUUGUCGUCCGUUGACCCUCUCAUGAUGUGGUUGCUUCCAGUGCUCUAGGAGAAAACAAAGUUGCAUUAAUAGUGAUUUGGCAAAACGUAUGUUGACCAGGAAUAGAAAGUUAACAUCAUAUAAAAGGUCAUGUUGAACCCAUAUGGUGUGAUAACCUGAACUCUGUACAUCAAGUAUAAUCUUGUUAUUACCACUCUUUUCACAAACAAAUAGUAGCAAGCAUAGCAGUUAUAGGCACGUUCAUACAUCCGAUCAAUAACAACAUCAUGCCCAGGCAUAUCACCACUCUUGCGCCAAUGGCAUACCAGCAGGAAAGUAUCAGUAUAUGGUUUAUUAGCAUGAUAUGAGAACAUAAAACCAUAAAUAGUCAGGAAGAGGGGGUGGGGCGGGGAGUGUGAAGCGAGUUUGCUCGGGGACUGGAGUUUGGAUGUCGCAAGGAUGAAGAAAACCUCCACCGUCGACCAAAUGGAAGCGGUCGGUGUUCUCAAUGCCCAUGUACUUUGCCUAACUUCCAUGACGUAGAUGUAUAAGCGUAACAGAUCUUGAAAGAGACCAAGAGAGGAGAAACAGAUGGGAGAGAUAUCUUACCUAUCUCGGUCGAAGAUCAGCACGGACAACCGGUUGCCAGUCUUGUCCCUCGAUCGACAUGACUGAUCCAGGCGCGUCGUGGCCGAAAGCGUCAGUUCGAGCCGCCGCACCGCGGAAACUGGAAACGGGAACCGUAAAAUGUGGUGAUGGAGCUGAA
rnacentral:lncRNA from 1 species